AUGUCAAUUUCUGGUUCCUUAUUCUUCCUGUUCCAGCCCCCAAUUCAUCCUUUUUUUAAGCAGGUGGCAAGUAAAGCCAUUGCUGCUUCACCAAAAGGCCCACAGGUCAGUUCCAGUCCAAGUCUGGCCCCAGUAACAAAAAGGAAAGUGGAGCAAAACUCUUCCAAAAAGGCCAGACUGAGCCAAGGCCAAGCUCUUCCUGUUAAACCUUCUGGACCCCUCGAAAGCAAGGAGAGCUCAGGAAGCAGCACUUCCUCAGACAGCGAGGAAGAAGAGGAGAAAAAGGCAGCAAAACCAUCAGCAACAGCCAAACAAAUUCCACAGCCUGGCAUAGCCCAAAAAAGAGGGAUAAAAAAAAAAGACAGCUCAUCUGAAGAGUCCAGUGAUGAAGACCAGAAGCCUUCACAGUCCCUCUUGGCAGGUUCCUCCACCCCUUUUAAAACCACAACGUCUCCUGUGCUGCUGUCCAAACAGAGUCCUGCUAAAGCUGGGAAUCUGGGCAUCAGUGAGAAAUCAGCAAUUGCUGACAGCUCAUCAAGUGACAGUAGUGACUCAAACACGGAUGCUGAAGUAGCAAUUGCUCAGAAGGCAGAAACUAGCUCCUUGCCGGCUUCUGGGAAAGAAGCAAUUGUGGCCAAAGAGACUGCAGGUAAGGGGGCUACGGCAGGGAAAAAAGGACCAGGAAGGGACUCCUCCAAAGCCUCUGCCACCAAGAAGGCUACAGCAAAGACUCAAAGCAACGGGAAGGCAAAAGAAACCCUGGCCGCCAAGUUGCCAGUCACUUCUUUGUUCAAAGCUAACCCUACAGAUGUCAGUUCUAAGAGCAACGAGGGCCCUGUGGCCCAGGUUCCUGGCACAGGAGCUCUAGAUAAUACAGAUGGGGCCACCCCUGUCGUGGACAUCAAGACUCCAAAAGAAACAAAGGCACCCAAGAGCGGGGAGAAAAAGAAGCCAUCCAAGAAGCGGAAACUGGCAACAGGGGAAACUGUCUCAGGAGAGCCAAAAGAGAAGAAGUUGAAAGAGGAGAACAUUCUUGAUAUGCUGACCAAGAAAAAGAAGAAGAAGAAAUCUAAGUCCUCGGACAAUACUAAGCUGGCAAAGAAAGAUGGCAAAGAGAAAAAAUCAGAUAAGAGCAAAGCAAAGAGGAGAAAAAGAAGAGUAAAAAAAUGGAAUCCAUUAGUAAAGAUGGUUUGCAGAAGAAAAAGAAGAAAAAGAAGAAAAUAGGCAACCUUGAGGGAGCAGCAUGAUCACUGAUUGUACAGCACACAGAACUCUACUGGGAGCGCUCAACAGAAAAGAACUACUUGUUUAUAUUUUUUAAACAAAGAAGAUGUGACUUUGAAGAUCCGACCUGAUAUUAAAUCUUAAUUUAUAACUAUUUUUAACCAUUAAUUUUAGAGUUAAGUAUUACUUGCAGUUGACCUGAGCCUGGACCUUGGGGAAGGAAGCUAUUCUUGAUUGCUUUGCCAGGGGGAAAAAUUCAGAUACGGUUUUUAUGGGAAAUAAGAUGCUGAAGACUCAAAGCCAGCUUUGAUUGCUCGGUUUUUUUU
ensembl:lncRNA